rnacentral:rRNA from 1 species
GAUGAACGCUGGCUACAGGCUUAACACAUGCAAGUCGAGGGGAAACGACGGGGAAGCUUGCUUCCCCGGGCGUCGACCGGCGCACGGGUGAGUAACGCGUAUCCAACCUGCCUCUGACUGAGGGAUAACCCGUCGAAAGUCGGCCUAAUACCUCAUGGCAUCGUCUGCGGGCAUCCAACGACGAUUAAAGAUUUCAUCGGUCAGGGAUGGGGAUGCGUCUGAUUAGCUUGUUGGCGGGGUAACGGCCCACCAAGGCUACGAUCAGUAGGGGUUCUGAGAGGAAGGUCCCCCACAUUGGAACUGAGACACGGUCCAAACUCCUACGGGAGGCAGCAGUGAGGAAUAGUGGUCAAUGGGCGGGAGCCUGAACCAGCCAAGUAGCGUGCAGGAUGACGGCCCUAUGGGUUGUAAACUGCUUUUAUGCGGGGAUAAAGUGGGGGACGUGUCCUUCAUUGCAGGUACCGCAUGAAUAAGGACCGGCUAAUUCCGUG